rnacentral:rRNA from 1 species
AUGGUGUUUGUUUCAUCUGUCCCAAGUUGCCUUUGUUUUCCCACCCUCCCACCCUUUUUCUUCAAGGAUUCAGAUUUCUUAAUCAUGUAUCCUUUUAUUUGUGAGAAGUCUCUUCAGUCUUUUCUUUCAAUGUUUUACCCGGUGUUUCUUAUGAAGAUGCUAAGGGAGUUUCAAGUUCGUCACUCUUCACUCGUUUUCUUCUCCGGUGGAUUUAAGUCAAGCUUUGUCGAUCAUAUCCUUUCCUUGUUUCAAAUGUCUUCUCAUGCCGGUGCACCUCUUUAUCAUCCACUUCUCGUUAUUCAAUUGUUCUGGAGUGCUUAA